CGCCUCCCUUGGCAUGUGGGCUUUAGCACAGACCCGUAGGUAUAGUGGCACAAAUUGCUCCCUGGCAGAAUUGCCUGUGUAGGUUGUACUGAGUAUGCCACUAGACUGGUAUCCCGGACCCGGAGCCUGGCCUCAUGAGCCUGUCGUGCAAAGUGCUACUGGUAGCACACUCCUACGCUGAGCAGUAUCCGUCACUACAUGGGCCGCCUGGAGCCCGCUGUGCAGAGCUGGCGGCAGCCUUCCUGGACCCUGCGCCUGUAGGGUGCCAGCCAGCUGCCUAGACCCCCAAGUCUGCUGCGCGGAGCCCGUGGCUGCCCAGGCCCCGGUCCCCGUGGCCUUUAGCACACAGAUGGUCUCUGCUCCCAACGACUUUGCAAUCGAAGGGCCCAAUCUUUCAAACACUUGUUACUGACCAUAAGGCUUGUUAUUGUGAAUAAGACCAUCAACUUCACUGGAGCUCAUGAAUAAAGCUACUCAAGUGCUUGCAGAAUCAAGUACUGAAAGAGAGAUUCUUAGGCGAUGGGAUGCAAUGACUUUGCUCCCCCCAAGCAUUGCCACAUCACCAGAAAAGACAAAAGUGGUCAACAAACCAUGGAAUUGUCAUAUUUGACUGUCUGGAUUGGUCAAGGCUGUGUUCGAAUACAGCUGUAGGAAGUGCUUAACAAAGAUCUCCAUUGGGAAAAGUGUUGACUCUUCUCAGGUUCUGAAUGAGUGUCCUCCACUCCUGACUUCAGAGCGAGUUAUGGGUUUUCAGUUCUUAACAGAAAGUGCUCAUCCCCUCUCUGGAUUGAAAUCUUACAGAUCUGUUUCCCAAACAAACAAACAAACAAACAAAACAAACAAAUCUUUAAAUUCUGGAACAGUUUUGAAAAUUGUGGAACUUCAAUUAACAACUUUAGAUAUUUGCUAUUAUAUGAAGGAGUCUUGUAAUGCUGUAGGUUCUAAAAACUUUUGUUUUAAAGAAAAAUAUUUUACUUCAGUGUAGUGGUUUAAACUAAUUCAUACUUAUUAAACUUAAAAUGGACUUCAGAAGAUACU